rnacentral:rRNA from 1 species
ACUCCUACGGGAGGCAGCAGUGGGAAUAUUGCACAAUGGGCGCAAGCCUGAUGCAGCCAUGCCGCGUGUGUGAAGAAGGCCUCGGGUUGUAAAUGCACUUUCAGUUGUGAGGAAGGUGGUGUCGUUAAUAGCGGCAUCAUUUGACGUUAGCAACAGAAGAAGCACCGGCUAACUCCGUGCCAGCAGCCGCGGUAAUACGGAGGGUGCGAGCGUUAAUCGGAAUUACUGGGCGUAAAGCGCAUGCAGGUGGUUUGUUAAGUCAGAUGUG